rnacentral:lncRNA from 1 species
UUACAUUCAGUUCUCCCAGAAACUUCACAUUCUCAGAAUUUUCCGAUUUGUAAUUCAAAAAUUAAGAUUUUUGAUUAUGUAUGUUCACUGAAAAAAUUGGGUUUCAAUGUCAAGAAGAAGAUGACAUCUAGGCGGAGCACAACGAGAAAGGUGAAAGAAAGAUGAGAAAUACAGUGAAUCUCCUUUCUUCUCUCCACUCUUCUUGCCUUGCUUCAUUUUCUACUUUUCAUGACACCAGUGGUGAUGAGAAUGGUGAUGAACAGGUUUGCUUUUGAUUUUUAAUGGAAUUACCAAUUAGGUCAAAAUCAUAAGUCUUGAUCUCUUCAUGUAUGUAAUGGAAGUGUUUGACAUAAAAGAAUGGAAUCUAUGAGUCAAGUAGUUGUUAAAUAUUGCUAUGAUAAAGAAAUAAAAGAUAAAUGUGAUAAUGAUCG